GACCACAAUAUGCAGUGUGGUGAGACUUUUUAAAAUAUUUUCUCUCUUCCUCAUAAUUACUGGGGGGUUUUGUUUUCUUUUUAGUGUCUUUCACGCUCACAUAUUUUCCGGUUCGAGGUUGUGCUGAGGUCGUCCAAGUGAUGCUAAAAGACCAAGGGGCAGAGUUUGACAAGAACGUUGUCGCUAUGGAGAUGUGAAUGGAGGGCACUCUCAAAGCCAGCUGUGUGAGUCUCUGACUACUACCAAGUUCUUUGGUCAGCUCCCUAAAUUUGAAGACUGUGGCCUCACUCUGUACCAGAUCAAUGUGGUAAGGAGACAUCUCGCACGGAAACUUGAUGUCCUUAGCCGACUACGCCCUCAUGCUCCUGCUGAUCCACCACCAAGUCCUCAGCCCCCCCUGCCUUCAUGCCUUCCCCUCCUUCCAGAAGUACAUGAGGAGGUUGUGUGCCUGACCCAAUCUGCAUCAUUACCUCGAAAGUGAGGACUUCAAGAACGGACCCAUCAUUCCUGGGAAGAGAACUUAAAGUGGAUGUUGCCCUAGUCCUCUUACUGUACCUCAAUAUUAUAUCAUAUCCAAUAUGCCUCAAUAUUAUUAAAGCAUGUAUACAUUCAACCAGAAUGGUUCACCCUGCAUUGUAA